rnacentral:lncRNA from 1 species
UCAACAAGCAUGUUUAUUGUUCUUCUAACUCCUUCAGGACUGUCUCCCCUCCCUCCCACAGCCUAGACAGAGAGCCAGUACAUCCUGCCCAUUGCCUGACUUGGGCCUCCUGCUGCCCAUCGGUCUAACACUGGGCGCACAGGUGGGAUGGCUUGACACGGUUGCUUGUUAUAGGAGGGGGAGUUCUAGCCCUCACCACAAAAGAGGUGCCUGAGCCAGGUGGGUAUGCCUAAGUCCCUUCCCCAUUCUCAGUUUCCUUAGUGGCAUAUCAGGAUCCCAUGUUCAGGACGGCUCUCCGGAAUUGGGGGUGGGGGUGGGAAUUCAGGGCAAAAUGUGCAGGGCUGGGGUGGUAAUGCUGGAUCAGAUUCAGACCUGUCUCCUCACCUGCAGCACUUGUGGUAAAGAAUAGAGGGAAGGAGGAACUGGCCUGGAUUUGGAAACCCUAGAAGAGGGUAUUAAUAGAGGGUCUCACAGGUUAGGAAUAAGGAUAAAUCCAGAAACACAUUUUGGACACCCAGCUAUCAAGAAUUAGUGGGUACAGGAUCUCAAGUUUGGGAAACAAGAUACAUAAACUCAGAAGCCUCACAGGAGUUCCCGCUGUGGUUCAAUGGGAUCAGCGGCGCCUUGGGCGCAGUGAGACACAGGUUCGAUCCCCCGCCCGGCACAGUGGGUUAAGAAUCCCGCAUUGACGCAGCUGCAGGUGGUACCUGCAGCUCGGAUCUGAUCCCUGGCCCCCGGAAAACUCUGUAUGCCUCAGGGCAGAAAAAAAGAACAAAUCAAAACCUCAUACAGACCCGUGAUGGCUGCGACUCGGCGAAUUGAGGCACAAAUUCGGAAAAAUAAGGGGAACCUGGCCUUGAGGCGGCGGAUCAAAGCCCUUAACCGGAGUAAAAAUAGGGACCUAGGUUUGGGGGAGACCCAGAGGCAGGAACUGGGGGCGAACCAGGCUUCCGGAUUUUAACUAGAGACGGGAAAUUCGGAAAUGGCAGCUCACGGAGCAGGAAAGCCUGGCCCUCAGGAUUUGGGGGAGUCUAAAGACACAGACCGAGCGGUCGUGCACGCAGACUGGGCCUGCAACGGGAACCCCAGGCCGGAAGUGCCGGCCUCCCCUGGUAACGACCAAUCACCAACGUCCAAGUGACUGCCUGGGAAUGACGCAAGGCGUCUCCAAGGCGAUGGCGAAUCGCAGGGAGGCUCCAGCUCUACCGGAAGUUGGAGUUCCCACCCGCCUCCCGCAGCGAGGAAAGGGGAGGUUGUGGUCGCCGUGGUAACCACGACGCCCAGACAAGUCCGGGUUAGACCGCACUUUCCUCUCCCGCCGGGUUCAGUGACGCUGAAGGAGCCCUCAGAGUCCCGGGGGGGCGCCUCAUUUCCUCACGCCUCUCCGUCCCGGCCUCCUCAGGUCGCCUAUGGAGAAAAGGGCCCUGGAACAGCACCGCCGCGGCAGUCCUCCGGAGCAGCUGCCUCCAGCACCCGAGGGAGGAGCGCCCGGACCCCCUGCGCUUCCGGCCCGGGCCGCCUAGUUGGUUCCCGGGCUGCGCCGGGGCAGGUUUUGACUCUGGCGGACUCCUCCCGUCUGGGAUGGGGCGGGGUCACCGUGCUCCCUUGGCUCACGGGGCUGAGGUCAGAGGUCGUGACAAGUGAGCCCCGGACCGAGUCUGAGAGUCUGGCAGCACGGGUUCAGCUGGGAGGUGCUUUUCCAGUCUAGGCCUCAGUUUUCCCAUCGGUAAAGUGGGAACAAAAAGGGCAACCACCUCAAGGAGGGAAGUGAGCUACAAUUUCUUUCCAGGUGGCCCCCAGCUGCAUUUAAAACCCUGCAAUAGGAGUUCCCUUCGUGGCGCAGGGAAGUGAAUCGGACUAGUAUCCAUGAGGAUGCAGGUUGGAUCUCUGGUCUUGCUCAGUGGGUCGGGGAGCCAGCGUUGCCUUGAGCUAUGGUGGAGGUAUGGUGGGAUCCCACAGAUGUGGCUGGGAUACCAUGUUGCUGUGGUUUGGUGUAGGCUGACAGCUGUAGCUCCUAUUCCACCUCUAGCCUGCGAACUUCCUUAUGCCGUGGGUGCAGCCCUAAAAAGCAAAAAAUAAUAAUAAACAAAACAAAACCCUGCAAUGACUAAGAAGGAUAAAGUUUGGAGAUUCCUGGAGACCUGAAGUAUUUGGUCCAUGCCUGGUUUCCUCCCUCUGAGCCCCCGUUUCCCCAUCUGUAAAACGGGUGUUGGGCCACUAUGCAUUUCUAGACUUGACGUGGGGACUAAAUGACUCAGUCUGUGUAACUCUCUUAGGGCAGGGCCAGAUGGUGCCUAGUGGGCCCUCGAAAUUGUGGUUGCUUUUCGCUAUUUAGAAAACGGACUGGAGUUCCCACUAUGAUGAAGUAGGUUAAGAAUCUGACUGCAGGAGUUCCCAUUGUGGCUCAGCAGGUUAAGAACCCCAUGAGGAUGCAAGUUCGAUCCCUGGCCCCAAUCAGUGAGUAAAGGAUCCAGCGUUGUGGGGAGCUGCAGUGUAGCUCACAGAUGUGGCUCAGAUCCUGCGUUGCUGUGGCUGUGGUGUAGGCCAGUAGCUGCAGCUAUGAUUCAACCCUUGGCCUGGGAACUUCCAUAUGCCGAAGGUACGGCCCUAAAAAGAAAAAGAAAAAAAAAAUUGAAAAUCGGACUGCAUUGGCUCAGGUAGCUGCAGAGGUGCAGGUUGGAUAGCUGGCCCAGAGCAGUGGGUUAAAAGGAUCCAGCGUUUCCACAGCUGCAGUGUAGGUCACAGCUGUGGCCGGGAUUCAGUCCACGGCGCAGGAACUUCCAUAAGCCAUGGGUGUGGCCAUAAGAAAUAAAGUAAAAUAAAAAAUAAAAUAGAUUAUCCAGUCAGCAGACAUUUUUGGAACUCGGCUGUGUGCCAGGCUCCUGAUGCUUCUCCACGCAUCUCCAGCUUUUGGAGCUACCUCCCCUGAGGCUCUGGUUAGUAUGGAGCUUUGUGGAAAUCCUGAUCUCCACACACGGCAUUACAAAAUGGGACAGGCUCCCCCCACGGUCUGAAGACAGGACAGUCCGAGUGUUUCUACAAAAGCUUUCCUAAGCUGAAAUGGCAUAUGCGGCGAAAAAGCGAUUACCUCAGGACACAGCUUGCUAACAGAUGAACAGAACCUCCGCAUGUUGCGGGUGUGGCCCUAAAAAUCAGACAAAAAAAGAAGAGCAAAGUGGCAAAAAGCAAACUUUGAAAAUACUGGGGUGGUUUGUAACUCAACAAAUGACUCAGCGCAGGGGUCUGGACAAGUGGGUGGUUGAAAUGCAACAGCAAAAAUGUGAUGCCUUUUGAUGUUAUACUACCUCCUCGUUGGAGAAAAGAGCAAAAGUAUGAUCUCAGAGGUAAAGGGAUGGCCCGCGGCCCCAGAGCCACCUAGAGGCAGCCCCAGGGAGCGGGGCCCCAGAAACGCUUUCUUCUGCGCUCUUUUGCAUCCUUGGUUUCCACUGACAACGUGAGUGUGGAGCGUUAGAUCCCUUGGGGGUCUGCAAGGAGGCUGAGCAGGAGGGCGCCCCCCCCCAGGCGAUGAGGACGAGGACGAGAGGCAGGUGGAGAGCCGACCCUGCCAGGUGACUGGCUCCCUGACUCAGGUCGGGUGGGGCCAGGGGCAAGGGCAUCUCCUUGGUCUCCGAGGAAGCAGAGGCAUGGGGCUGUGACGUGGGUUGGAACCGUGAGUCUCCUUGGGUCGAGAGCCAGGCAUUGCCAAGGGGCUUCAGACGCUCCUCAGUUCGGCCGAAAUGUAGAUUCAGGCCAGGCCUCAAAAAGGAAAACAUCCAUGUACCAAAUUUAACUUGGCAAACUUCCUAUGGCCUGUCCCAUGUGCAUCUUAUUUAAAAUCUCCCCCCUGGAAAUCACUGUUUAAUACGUCCAGAGCUCUAGCUGUUUCAGGCAGCGUGUGGUGUCUCAAGAGGCCAGAGCAGCAGUAUGGGUUGAUUUCUUAUUACUGGGUUACCCAGAACCAGAUGGGAGGGCCUGCCUCCUGCUGCCACUCUGCAGCCUGGACCUGUGGACCCUGGUUGUACAGAGUGAAUCGUAUCUUAGGAAACCAGUGUCACCUUUUAAUUUUAUAUCAUUUGUCAUACAUUUCCUGUAAUGGAAGUGUUCAUUUUACUGUACUUUUUGGGAAUCUAAUGUACUGUAAAAAAAAACAAAACAAAGGAAAACAUCCAUCCUCCUCACGUGGCAACCAGAGGGGGCUGUGAAAACCCAACUCAGAUGUCCUCUCUGUCCUGCUCCGAAGCCUCCCUGUGUCACUCUCAGGACAAAACAAUCUGCACAGGGGCCUGCUAGGUGGCCCCAUCACCUUGCACCUUCCCUCUCCCCUCAGCGCCACACCAGCCAUACCACACGACGCUCCCAAGAGCCUGUGCACCUGCCGUGCCCUUACUGAACGCGCCCUUCCUCGGGGAGCCUCGUGGCUCACCCUCCCCUGCUCCCCGGGUCAAGCCUGGAAUCCCACGUGCUCCAGAGGCCUUCUCUGGCCACUCUCUUCACCGUAACUUUGGGGGGAAACAUUAGUCAUGUUACACAUGUUACCCAGUGUGUUUAGUAUCUUCACAAGGUCAGGCACCCAUCACUAUGGGCUUAAUUCCACAACAUUUUCAUCAUCCCAAAAAGAAACCCAGGCGUUUCCGCCGUGGCGCAGUGGGUUAAUGACUUCUGUGGCUUGACCCCCGGCCAGGUGCAGUGGGUGAAGGAUCCGGCCUUGCCACACCUGUCUCGUAGGUCACAGAUCCAGUUCAGAUUUGAUCCCUGACCCGGGAACUUCCAUGUGCCACGGGUGUGGCCAAAAAUGGGAGAAAAAAAAAGAAACCCCAUACCCAUCGGCAGUUACUCCCAUCACCCCUCCUCCAGCCAGCCCCUGACAACCAUGAGCCUCCUUCUCCACAUGGAUCUGCCUGUGAGACGCUCAUCGAAACGGAAUCAUGGAGCAUGUACUUUCCUGUCCGACUUUUUCCACUUAGCUCUAAGGCCAGUCCCACUUGGGCCAAACACCACCUUCCUCCUGCCCCUGCCUCCUGCUCUCCACGGCCUGCUUCCCGCCAAGUUCCUUUGCCUCAGCACCCUGACUGUUUUGUCCCGGGGUGGAGGCAGGGCUGCCCUCCUCCUCUCAAGCCCGCCCCUUGCUGGGGGUGAGGGACGGAAAUCCUACAAAAUUGGAUCGUGAUGAUCACUGCACAACCACAAAUGUAAUAAAUUCAUUGAGUAAUUAAAAAAAAAAAAGUCUGUCCUUUGCCUUUUCCAGCUUCCAGAGGCCGCUAGAAUUCCCGAUUCCUCUGGCCACAUCCUUUGGACCUGUUUCUGUCGCCACC